CACGUAGGCACCAAGCGUUGUCCGGAUUUAUUGGGCGUAAAGAGCUCGUAGGCGGUUCGGUAAGUCGGGUGUGAAAACUUUGGGCUCAAUCCAAAGCGUGCACUCGAUACUGCCAUGACUAGAGUUCGGUAGGGGAGUGGGGAAUUCCUAGUGUAGCGGUGAAAUGCGCAGAUAUUAGGAGGAACACCGGUGGCGAAGGCGCCACUCUGGGCCGAAACUGACGCUGAGGAGCGAAAGCGUGGGUAGCAAACAGG
rnacentral:rRNA from 1 species